rnacentral:rRNA from 1 species
AAUAGAUACCCAGGUAGUCCACGCCCUAAACGAUGUCAACUAGCUGUUGGGGCCUUCGGGCCUUGGUAGCGCAGCUAACGCGUGAAGUUGACCGCCUGGGGAGUACGGUCGCAAGAUUAAAACUCAAAGGAAUUGACGGGGACCCGCACAAGCGGUGGAUGAUGUGGAUUAAUUCGAUGCAACGCGAAAAACCUCACCUACCCUUGACAUGUCUGGAAUCCUGAAGAGAUUUAGGAGUGCUCGCAAGAGAACCGGAACACAGGUGCUGCAUGGCUGUCGUCAGCUCGUGUCGUGAGAUGUUGGGCUAAGUCCCGCAACGAGCGCAACCCUUGUCAUUAGUUGCUACGAAAGGGCACUCUAAUGAGACUGCCGGUGACAAACCGGAGGAAGGUGGGGAUGACGUCAAGUCCUCAUGGCCCUUAUGGGUAGGGCUUCACACGUCAUACAAUGGUCGGGACAGAGGGUCGCCAACCCGCGAGGGGGAGCCAAUCCCAGAAACCCGAUCGUAGUCCGGAUCGCAGUCUGC